rnacentral:rRNA from 1 species
GAUGAACGCUGGCGGCGUGCCUAAUACAUGCAAGUCGAGCGAACAGACGAGGAGCUUGCUCCUCUGACGUUAGCGGCGGACGGGUGAGUAACACGUGGAUAACCUACCUAUAAGACUGGGAUAACUUCGGGAAACCGGAGCUAAUACCGGAUAAUUUAUUGAACCGCAUGGUUCAAUAGUGAAAGACGGUUUUGCUGUCACUUAUAGAUGGAUCCGCGCCGCAUUAGCUAGUUGGUAAGGUAUCGGCUUACCAAGGCAACGAUGCGUAGCCGACCUGAGAGGGUGAUCGGCCACACUGGAACUGAGACACGGUCCAGACUCCUACAGGAGGCAGCAGUAGGGAAUCUUCCGCAAUGGGCGAAAGCCUGACGGAGCAACGCCGCGUGAGUGAUGAAGGUCUUCGGAUCGUAAAACUCUGUUAUUAGGGAAGAACAAAUGUGUAAGUAACUAUGCACGUCUUGACGGUACCUAAUCAGAAAGCCACGGCUAACUACGUG